rnacentral:rRNA from 1 species
UAAUCGCUGUAGCCAGCUUCCGCUGUAAUGUGGUGGGGGGAUGCGUUGUCCUGUUUCAAUGGUUUUAAAGGGUUGUUAUGUGUAUUUAUAAGUCAGUGGGUAAAGCCCCUGUCGCAACUUGGGAAUUGCGAUUGAUACUGGUGGUCUUGAGUGCGGUUGGGGUAGGCGGAAUAAGUCAUGUAGCGGUGAAAUGCUUAGAUAUGACUUAGAACACCGAUUGCGAAGGCAGCUUACCAAGCCGACACUGACACUGAGGCACGAAAGCGUGGGGAUCAAACAGGAUUAGAUACCCGAGUAGUC